GGGGUCAAUUAAUGGAUAAUAUAUUCAGUUGUGUUUAUUAUAAAACAAAAAAUGUUAAAGGCAAAAGACAGUUUUGCACUCUCGUUCCGAUUCAUUUGUAUCAGAAGUAUUUUGUGUAAAUGCAGCAUUUGCGUGAGUGUAGCUAAUAAAUACGUUAGCUAAAUCUAGUUAUAUCCAGUUCUAUAUUAGUUUGUAUUUUACUAUGGGUUCCCUGUGCCUUACCCAGUGUGGGUAUCAAAACCCCAUUUUUAACUUUAUAAGCCCUUGGACUUAAUGCAUUUAAACAGUAUUUAGUAUGUGAAGUGUUUCAUAAUUUAAUGCCUCCAGUUGACUUAGCUGUAAGAAUGAGAGGCUAUAAUGCUAAGAAUCGGGUUUUAAUACCUGCGGUAGCCAGAGCAAAGAUGGACUAUUGUGUAGUUUUGUUAAUAAAUUUAAACAGAUAAACAGUUAUAUAAUGGUAAAUGUGUCUAGUGAGCGGGUGAUAAGGUGGACAUGAUUGGAUGAAAAGUUAAAGGAUUGGAUAGACAGACUGACUGGAUGAAAGUUUAGAUGAAUGAGUAAAAUUUUCACAAGUAAAAAAAAAUGCUGACUAUUUUGAUGACUUGUCACAGGGAUGAAAAGUUUGCUUGACAAAUAGCUCUGUUGAUUAAAAAAAAUGGUGCAAGGGUUAAUUAUUGGUCCAAUAAGAAACAAACUGGCCAGUAUCUCUCAGAGUUUGAGGUUUAGUUAGACAGAGUGGCAUAUACUAGAUGUACGUCUGUGUAUGGACAUAAGGAUUAAAGGAAGUACAGACAAAUAAGUGGAGAAAUAGAAAAGCCAACAGCCAGAGCAGUCACAUAGUGCCUGAUGCCAGUUCCCGAGGAAGAGUGACAGUACAUAUGUGUGUACUGGGCAAUCUACAAGAACUCUACUAGUGGAGGGUCACCAACAGACAGUGCUCUCCAGCAUACUGAGAGUUUGAUUAGGAAGACAUUUGAUUUUGGGUGUAAAUUGUCUAAUUAAUUUUUCAUAUACAUAUCUUUAGUUUUUGAAGUGCUGGAACAGUGCUUUGGCAGCACUACACCCCUGAUUAUUAUACUGUUAUGCUGAGAAGAAAGAACUUCUUGAAAAUCAUAAAAGCUGAUGUGAAAAGACUGACUACGAUGAAGGCACAAGAGAUUUUGAACAGAUGUCUAAAAACCCUUUAACUUUACCUGGUGAUGAAGAAGAGUCCAUUAGCUCCAGUCAUAUUGUUGUUAUAAUAAUGAUUUUUGAAAAUUUGGAGGUAAUAGAGAAACUCUUUUAAAGAAAACACGUAAAUUUUGACGUGUAAAUACCAGUUUACGGUUUAUUCAUAAACAAUGACAUCUAGAAGAUUUUCCUUGCACAGGUGUAAGAUUAUUUUUGCAGCUUCUUUAGUAUUGUUUUUGCUGGGAGUUUGUGUUUUAAUGUACUAUACAGAGUGUAUUGGCACGCCUUGUGAAGAUAGAAACAGUUUAAAAGGAGUAGUUCAAGAAGAAAAGCUAGCAUAUUUUGCUAACUCACCAGCUAGGGAGUUCAAAAGGUGGGAGCGACCUGUUUUACAAAAUAAUCCACCUCACUGGCCAGGAGAGAAUGGAAAAGCAGUGAUUAUUGGUAAAGAGGAAGAAACUUUGAAAAAUGAACUCUUUAAGCUCAAUCUAUUCAACUUGCUUGCCAGUGACCAAAUCUCUGUCAACAGAUCUAUUCCUGAUAGUCGAAUAAAAAGGUAA